UGCCAGCCGCCGCGGUAAUACAGAGGGGGUUAGCGUUGUUCGGAAUUACUGGGCGUAAAGCGCACGUAGGCGGAUUGGAAAGUUGGGGGUGAAAUCCCGGGGCUCAACCCCGGAACUGCCUCCAAAACUAUCAGCCUAGAGUUCGAGAGAGGUGAGUGGAACUCCGAGUGUAGAGGUGAAAUUCGUAGAUAUUCGGAAGAACACCAGUGGCGAAGGCGGCUCACUGGCUCGAUACUGACGCUGAGGUGCCAAAGUGCGGGGAUCAAACCGGAUUAGAUA
rnacentral:rRNA from 1 species